UGGAAAUGUUUGGCGGCGCCACGCUCGGACUGUUCAAGCUGUUAUUUUCUUAGACUGUGACAGUUUUGGAGCUCCGACAUCCACUUUGUGUUGUCUUUGACUGAAGUAACUAUAGUGUCCGCAUCAGGAGGAGGAGAGGCAGCAGCAGGAACAUGAGGGUGACAGUUCAGUCCUGUAGCUACAGACUGCCUCGCCAGGAGGAGAGCAGGCAGCAGCUCUGGAGCCCCGGCCAGCGGCUGCAGCAACCCAGACUCUACUAGUGCAAACCGCAGCUCCAGCAGACCAUGCAGCCCAGACUGCCCACCAGAUCAGCAAACUUUCUGUUGCUGCCGUUACACAGGUUAUCCUCGAUCCAAGUUGUGUCCUGAAUUGCCAAAACCAGCAGUGCCUGGAUGAGCAGACACAAG